CGGGUGAGUAACACGUAAGUAAUCUACCUUCGGAUGGGGAAUAACAGUCGGAAACGACUGCUAAUACCGCAUAAUGCAGCGGCACCUAAUGGUGACAGUUGUUAAAGUAUUUAUACGUCUGGAGAGGAGCUUGCGGCAGAUUAGCUAGUUGGUAAGGUAACGGCUUACCAAGGCUACGAUCUGUAUCCGACCUGAGAGGGUGGUCGGACACACUGACACUGAAUAACGGGUCAG
rnacentral:rRNA from 1 species